AGCUCCAAUAGCGUAUAUUAAAGUUGUUGCGGUUAAAAAGCUCGUAGUUGGAUUUCUCCCGAGGAGGACCGGUCCGCCCUCUGGGUGAGUAUCUGGCUUGGCCUGGGCAUUCUUGGAGAAACUAGCUGCACUUGAUUGUGUGGUGCGGUAUCCAGGACUUUUACUUUGAGGAAAUUAGAGUGUUUCAAGCAGGCAUCGCCUUGAAUACAUUAGCAUGGAAUAAUAAGAUAGGACCUCGGUUCUAUUUUGUUGGUUUCUAAAGCUGAGGUAAUGAUUAAUAGGGAUAGUUGGGGGCAUUCGUAUUCAACUGUCAGAGGUGAAAUUCUUGGAUUUGUUAAAGACAGACUACUGCGAAAGCAUUUGCCAAGGAUGUGUUCA
rnacentral:rRNA from 1 species